rnacentral:tRNA from 1 species
GCCCGCGUAGCUCAACCGGAAGAGCGAAACCCGCGGUGAGGGUCUUAUGCGAGUUCAAAUCUCGUCGCGGGCUCCA